UUGGCAGCUGCUCCAUGAUCUCCAUCAGCACUUGAGUUUUUGGAGCAUUGAGAGGGACGUAGCUAUGGAAUCUUCCUGGGGGAGAGCUCCACCGAACUCUGCGGUCCGAGCUUCUCUAUCUACGACCUUGGGGGGGAGUUCGAACAUGUUUGUGUUCGGGGGGAGUUCAAGAACAUGGUCGAGCUUCACUCGGCCCUUUUUCAGCUGCGGGCUUGCUGGAGUCACCCACCUGCCGCUCCUUCGCGGCCUCCUCAUCCUUCAGCUUGAAGGC
rnacentral:lncRNA from 1 species